rnacentral:rRNA from 1 species
CCGCGGUAAAACGCGUUACUCCUACGGGAGGCAGCAGUGAGGAAUCUUCCGCAAUGGGCGAAAGCCUGACGGAGCGACGCCGCGUGUGCGAUGAAGUCCUUCGGGAUGUAAAGCACUGUCGGAGGGGAAGCGGUACCCUCCAAGAAAGCCCCGGCUAACUAC